UACGUAGGCGGAAAAUUAAGUCAGUAGUGAAAUCCUGCAGCUUAACUGUAGAACUGUUAUUGAUACUGGUUUUCUUGAAUAUAGUUGAGGUAGGCGGAAUGUGUAAUGUAGCGGUGAAAUGCUUAGAUAUUAUACAGAACACCGAUUGCGAAGGCAGCUUACUAAGCUAUGAUUGACGCUGAGGUACGAAAGCGUGGGGAGCGAACAGGAUUAGAUACCCUGGUAGUCC
rnacentral:rRNA from 1 species